UGAUCCUGUAGUGGAUGGAGUCCACCGAGAAUCCUUCUAAUUUUGUGAGCUACUGGUCAGGCUAUGGUUGAAUUCAGUCUGUUUGCAGGAGCAUAGCCAGCACUCUGAGAUAUCCUGGAAGAAAGGACUGCUCUGCAGAAGCUCACUGAAAGACUUCCUGAUAGGAAAAAAUCACUGCUGGAGAGAUGGAAAGGAGCCCACACAGUGGAAG